AUUGACACUCACAGGACCAACCCAACUAAAAGUCAAUAUAUCAACACUCCCGAUCCCCUCCCAUCUCCCCACCCCUGCCCACCGCCCCUUCCCAUCAUCCUCUUCAAUGAUGUUUUUAGGCAGAUCCCAAGACUUCGAUUGCUUUCAGAGAACAGGACAGUUCCACUUUAGGAUAUUAAGAGCACCAAUCUAAACCCAAACUGGAGUCUCACCUUCAGUUUAUCAUGUCUUCCCUCCCCCCAGCUCAGCUCUGACAUGUGGGUUAGAUCCUGGCAGGGGGAUGGGGCAUGGCCUGUUGCUUCAUCCUCCUCCACUCUCCUCUCCCCGCUUCUUCAUGAUCCUCUAGGGCUGAGGAGAUGAGGAAAAAGGAGAGCAAAGGAGCAGAGGCCAUUAUAUUCAACAUGUGCCUUGUGCGUGGCUUUUGCCUGAGAGUCUGGAGUCCCCGGCAUUCUCAGUCCAGUCUUUGGUUUGAGCAUGAAGCUGAGCAGGUCCUUGUGGGGCUCCUGGGCACAAAAGCCUUUCUUGGUCCCCAUUUCAUGUUUUUAGGAAAUGGGCCUCCUUCAGCCUCUCUGACUUCCCCUGAGUCCCCAAAUGGCAGGUUCAAACAGUUGCUAAUCAGGGGAGGGAGGGGAGCCAGAGACCAGGGAGAAGCAGUCAAGAAACAAUAGUGCUGGGGUUCCCUGGUGGCUCAGUGGGUUAAGGAUCCACUGUUGUCACUGCUGUGGCUUGGGUUGCUGCUGUGGCAUGGGUUCAGGUUUGAUCCCUGGCCUGGGAAUUUUUACAUGCCAUGGGUGUGGCCAAAAAAAAAAAAAAAAAAAAAAGAGAGAGAGAAACAAUAGUGCAGGGUCCUGGUUCCUUCUCAAAGGAUACACAUAACAAUAUCUUUGAGCUCUUCUGCAGAAAUAAAACCUCAACAAAAGGAAAAUGUCAACUACUCCGUUGAAGCAUUCUUUUUUUUUUUUGUCUUUUUCUAGGGCUGCACCCAAGGCAUAUGGAGGUUCCUAGGCUAGGGGUCUAAAUGGAGCUGUAGCCACCGGCCUACCCCGGAACCAUAGCAACUCGGGAUCUGAGCCACGUAUGUGACCUACACCAUAGCUCACAGCAAUGCUGGAUCCUUAACCCACUGAGCCAAGCCAGGGAUCGAACCCACCACCUCACGGUUCCUAGUCGGAUUCCUUAACCACUGAGCCAUGACAGGAACAGCUGAAGCAUUCUUCAACCCAGAGAGAAGGCCAUGGUGCGAUAAUCUUAAAGUUCUCCAGAACCUGUCCAAGGACUACCUGAUGCUAGCUUUGCAGAAUGCAAGCUUGCAUCUUCCCUGUUCCUUUUCUCCGGCCCUAUUUUCCACUCCUGAACUAUAAAACCCCUUCCUAUUCUCUCCCAAAGGAGGGCUUAAUCUUCAGGGCAUUAUAGCCUGUGGCUUCCUUUGCCUGGCAAAGCAAUAAAAGCUACUCCUUUCCCCUUCGCCCAGAACUCUGUCUCCAGGUUUCUAUUCAGCAACAGGCACAUUAAUGGCACUUCUGAGGUAUCCUUUCCUCCACUCUCACUAAUGGACUUCCCACACUGCAUUCUCCAGCUGAUCUUUUAGUCUCCCUCUUCUGGGACCCCCCUGCCCCAGAAGGCAGCCCUCUAACUCCUGAAGCAGCACGGAGGAUCUCUUCAUACUUAGCUUUUCAAAUGGCAGCAAUGCAUCUUGCUACCCCUGUUGCCCUUAAGGUGAAGGGGUGAUCCUGCCCCCAGCUCCAGCUAGCCUCUUGCUUUCAGAGCUCCCGGCUUCAUGCCCCCAAACUCUAGGAGAUGCCAGGCAAGCUCUCCCCAGACCCUGGACACCCUCCACUCAGGAAGUAGCACCAUGCAGGCUGAAAUGCUUUGGCCACUCAACAGGCUUCUAGGAAACAAGAGGCAUGUUUGUCUCCCUUCUUGCAAGAGAUCCCCAAACCAGACUUUCUCUUGGCCUCUCUUUGCUGGCUUUGGGUAGCUGGAUCCCCUUCCCCCUGGGGAGAGAAGGAAAACUAAAGCUUGCUCCUCUUACCAAUUCCCUUCAAAGAACUGUCUCUCAGGAAUCUCCAGCCUUUUCUUUGCAAAUCCUGUGGGAUUUCCUUAGCAUCUCUCUUUAGAAUGUGAGGGUCCUUAUCACACAUUGACUUCAGCUUUGAAGCUUUAGCCAACACCUGAGACAACAGGAAAAGUUCCAUUCCACAUCCUGUUAGCUGCUGCCUCUGCUCAAAGUAUUCUUUUUUCUUCCUUAGACCUGCCUUUGGCUUCCCAUCACUGCCCUCACCAACAUUAUCUAAAAUGGCAUAGUAAUUGGUAAGGGGGAAAAAUGGGUUUCAUUGGACUAUUUCUUUGAACAAAACCACAAAUUUUAAAAAUACAAUUUAAUCUGUUUUAUAAAAUAGAUGUUGUGUCAUUGUGCACUCAUUAUUAGACUAAUAAAAAGAAUGAAGUGGCUUUAGUUGGCAUUAGCUGUUUGGUAACAUUAUGUGACAGGACGGUGUCUCCCUUCAUUUUACAUUCAAGGACAGGAAGCUAAAGAGGAAUAUUUUUGCCGAAAUAGUCAAGCGUUUCGUCAGUUUGCCAAGGGGCCUCUCUUCCACCUUUGAUAUUCAAAUCACCUUCUUUUGAAAAGCCUGUGGUGUCAGUGUCCUUGUUAAUUUGCUCUCCUCUUUUAACUGCCCCAAUUCUGUCAGGUCCCUCUUUGUCAGUGGGUUUACCCAGGAGCAAGUAGUUCUCCAAGUUACUGAAAGUGUAUUCAGUUUGCGUCUUUUUUCUGCAUUUGUGAGACACUGUAAAUCAGCUGGAGGAGGAGAAGGAGGUGGCUGACCAGGAAGGAGGAUGGUUCAGUUAGGAAGGAGGUAUUUGCAUGACCCCUCUUAUGAGUGGUGGGUAAGUUCUUCAGUCACUACUGUCUUAUAAUGACUGUUGCUUCCCCAUGCCACCUUAGACCUUGGGGGGUUGGAAUCUGAAUUCUGGGAUAACCAGGGGCCUCUGCCUGCCCCCACAGAGUUGAACCUUAAGUGAUCCUCAGUUAAUUUGGAGACAAGGACAGACUGGAGCCAGCAGAGAACUUGCAGGACACAAAGAUGACUCAGGGCUGGAAGUGCCUAGGCUGAGUCACAGGGCCAGGAAGGGACGGGAAGGUGGGGAAGGUACCAAGACCAGUUUGGCCUUUGUGACCCUACAGGAAAGGCUGAGCCCUGAGAUGACACAGGGACUGUACUCUUCUGCAAGACAGCUAUUUGGCCCUGUGCCUUCAAGGGGGCUGCAGGCAUCUUUUUUAAGACAGCAGACGAUGGAGCAGCAUCAAGGGACAGGCCAGGGCUUCGAGUCGUAAUUUGAAAAAUGGCUCUCCUCUAGCCAAACACUUCCAGAAAUGACCUAUUCCUAAAUCUGCUUGGCCUCCACCAGCAUGACUGAGUCCUUCAGGGUCCCCUACCUGUGCCAGCAGAAUAUACAAGGUAAUGCCCUUUUAUGUUGUAAGGCCAUUCACCACUCUUGGUGUCAUAGAGGCAAGUGGGAAGCCAUUGCCAGUCCUCUUCAUAAGCACAGCAAAACCUCAACUAGGAAGGAAGUAAUGAGAGAGGGAGGAGAAUGGGGGCGGGGAAGGGCAGGGUAGGCAGCCUCCCUGGUAUCCACACUCUUGAAUAACCCUCUCCUGUAACCAAGCAGGACCCUACGAGGUCUUUUCAGGGCAGGCCCCUCCCCCAUAUCCUCUGCUUUAGCUGCUCUCUGAAGUACCUAGAUAAUAGUACCCAAUGCACGUUUCCUGAGUUGUUUUGCAGAUGCUAAAACCACCACCAAAUGGGAGAAAACCACUUGAUGAUCCUAGGCACGUAGCUGCCAGACCUACUGGCGCCUAAGGACUGAUAAUGUGAACACCCUGUGACACUGCCCUGUGACCUCACCAACAACCAAUCGGAGAAUUGCGCAUGAGCAGAUCACUGACCCUGUGACCUCCCCCCGCCCCCGGCUUUUAAAAGGCUUUCCAAUUUGGGGUUCAGGGAGUUGAAGAUAUUUUGGGGACCUUAGCCACCCAUCUCCUUGCAUGGCCUGCAAUAAACUUUUCUCUUCUCCAAAUUCUGACAUUUCAGUUUGUUUCUCCGUGUAUCAGGCACGUGGGAACAACACUCUGAGUAUCUAUUGGCUGGAUUUAGUGACCAGCUUCUAACACAUAGAACAUAACAGAGGUCAUAGACGUCACUUCUGAGAGAGCAGGUUAUAAACAACUGGGGUUUCCAUCAUGGGGACUCAGGCUUUCUCUUGAAUCCUACCACCCUCCCCAACUCAGUCAAGCCUUCGGUUGAGAUGACCAUCUCAUGAGAAAUCUUAGCCAGAGACACCCAGGCGAGAUGCACCCUGGUGCCUGACCCUCAGAAACUCAAGGAGAUUGUUGACUGAUUAAAACACACACACACACACACACACACACACACACACACACACACACACACACACACAAUGUAAGAACGGUGAGUUAAUUCUGAGGACUAAAGCUUGGAAAACAGCCUCUCAGCUAUCUCUGAGGACCCACUCUGAAGAGGUGGGGGAGAGGGCAGUAUACAUGUGAUUUUGGCUAAGGAAUACCUCAAGCAUACAGCUUGGUAGAAGGUUACUGACAGUCAUGAGGAAUUAUCUCAAUAAUUUCAGUGCUUUUCUGAGUCUGGGAAGAUGCAAGAAUCCAGAUUCACACAAGUUUUCCUGAGAUACCUCUUUCUUUUCUUCCUUUUUCUUUCCUUUUUUUCUUUUUUUUUUCCUUUCUUUCCUUUUCCUCUUUCCUUCCUUUGUUUCUUUCCUUCCUUCAUUCUUUUGCUAUGCCUGCUGCAUGUGGAAUUUCCUGGGCCAGGAAGUGAACCCAUGUCACAGCAGCCACAAUUGCCAGAUCCCUAACAUGCUGAGCCACCAGGGAA
rnacentral:lncRNA from 1 species